ACCUGAACUAAUACUUGAGCACAACAGGUUUUUUAUACCAAUGCUGGACUUCCUGUCCCGGAAGACCUUCAAGAUGACUCGAUGGAAGAUGGUGUGCAUGUGAAUCAAUCUUCACCAUCUACAGAAAAUGGCGGCACUCAAGUGAUGGCAUCGUCUCGUGCCGCAGAGCAAAGUGAUACGACCCCAUCAGGCCAGCUUCAUACAACUCAUGCAAGGGAGGAGGCACCUUUCUUGGAUGAAUAAUAAGCAUUAAUAUAGCAGUUACACAUGUAGCUACCAUGUUGGAAUUUGACUUUCUUUUGUGAGUAGUUGUGAACCUGAAUGUUUCUAUAUUUGCUUCUUCUCUAUGUUGCCAAAAACAAGUGGCUGUUAUGGAUAUAGUAUGUGUCAUUAUGGAAUACUGUGUGAUAUUUUGUUCAAUGAGAAAAAUGUAUUGAAUGUGAUUUGUGAAUC